AUUGAACGCUGGCGGCAGGCCUAACACAUGCAAGUCGAGCGAGCGGCGGACGGGUGAGUAAUGUCUGGGAAACUGCCUGAUGGAGGGGGAUAACUACUGGAAACGGUAGCUAAUACCGCAUACCAUCAGAUGUGCCCAGAUGGGAUUAGCUAGUAGGUGGGGUAAUGGCUCACCUAGGCGACGAUCCCUAGCUGGUCUGAGAGGGUGACCAGCCACACGGGGACUGAGACACGGUCCAGACUCCUACGUGAGGCAGCAGUGGGGAAUAUUGCACAAUGGGCGCAAGCCUGAUGCAGCCAUGCCGCGUGUGUGAAGAAGGUCUUCGGGUUGUAAAGCACUUUCAGCGGGGAGGCGUUACCCGCAGAAGAAGCACCGGCUAACUCCGUGCCAGCAGCCGCGGUAAUAC
rnacentral:rRNA from 1 species